rnacentral:rRNA from 1 species
AGUCGAACGGAAAGGCCUCUUCGGAGGUACUCGAGUGGCGAACGGGUGAGUAACACGUGGGUGAUCUGCCCUGCACUCUGGGAUAAGCCUGGGAAACUGGGUCUAAUACCGGAUAGGACCAUGCUUUAUUGUGUGUGGUGGAAAGUUUUUUCGGUGUAGGAUGAGCCCGCGGCCUAUCAGCUUGUUGGUGGGGUAAUGGCCUACCAAGGCGGCGACGGGUAGCCGGACUGAGAGGUUGGUCGGCCACAUUGGGACUGAGAUACGGCCCAGACUCCUACGGGAGGCAGCAGUGGGGAAUAUUGCACAAUGGGCGCAAGCCUGAUGCAGCGACGCCGCGUGGGGGAUGACGGCCUUCGGGUUGUAAACUCCUUUCGCCAGGGACGAAGCGUUUUGUGACGGUACCUGGAGAAGAAGCACCGGCUAACUACGUGCCAGCAGCCGCGGUAAUACGUAGGGUGCAAGCGUUGUCCGGAAUUACUGGGCGUAAAGAGCUCGUAGGUGGUUUGUCACGUCGUCUGUGAAAUUCCACAGCUUAACUGUGGGCGUGCAGGCGAUACGGGCUGACUUGAGUACUGUAGGGGUAACUGGAAUUCCUGGUGUAGCGGUGAAAUGCGCAGAUAUCAGGAGGACACCGAUGGCGAAGGCAGGUUAC